rnacentral:rRNA from 1 species
UACGUAGGGUGCAAGCGUUGUCCGGAAUUAUUGGGCGUAAAGAGCUUGUAGGCGGUUUGUCGCGUCUGCUGUGAAAUUUCGGGGCUCAACCCCGAACUUGCAGUGGGUACGGGCAGACUAGAGUGUGGUAGGGGAGACUGGAAUUCCUGGUGUAGCGGUGAAAUGCGCAGAUAUCAGGAGGAACACCGAUGGCGAAGGCAGGUCUCUGGGCCGGAACUGACGCUGAGGAGCGAAAGCGUGGGUAGCAAACAGG